rnacentral:lncRNA from 1 species
CAGGUGAGCCAGCGCCAUGAGGAGUGGCUGCCUCUUGAAUCCUGUCAGUCUCCGGCAGAUCCGAUUACAUCUGGGACCCUUAAGAGUACUUGAAGCAAACGGCGCUGGUCUAUUUUAAUCCUGCUCCUUCUAGAAACUAGAAACUACUGUCUCUGAACAGCAAGAUGGCUUUGAAACGCUUUCACAAUGAAGGUAAGGGUUUGUUGUACUAAGCUCACCCAGCAUCUAUUGGGGCCACAUUUUCAAGAUGGCUGACCCUGUUUUCUGA